CUGCUGCCUCCCGUAGGAGUCUGGUCCGUGUCUCAGUACCAGUGUGGGGGACCUUCCUCUCAGAACCCCUACGCAUCGUCGCCUUGGUGGGCCGUUACCCCGCCAACAAGCUAAUGCGCCGCAUGCCCGUCCUCCGCCGGAAUCGCUUCCUUUUAACACCCGUGGGAUGCCCCACUGGUGUACCACGCGGUAUUAGUCCGGAUUUCUCCGGGUUAUCCCCCUGCGGAGGGCAGGUUGCAUACGUGUUACUCACCUGUGCGCCGGUCGCCGGCAG
rnacentral:rRNA from 1 species